GAUGAACGCUAGCGGCAGGCCUAACACAUGCAAGUCGAGGGGCAGCACAGGAAAGUAGUAAUACUUUUGGGUGGCGACCGGCGGACGGGUGCGUAACGCGUAUACAACCUGCCUUCUACUGGAGGAUAAUUCGGAGAAAUCUGGUCUAAUACCCCAUAACAACCGAUGAGGCAUCUCAUUGGUUUAAAAGCUCCGGCGGUAGAAGAUGGGUAUGCGUGACAUUAGAUAGUUGGUGGGGUAACGGCUCACCAAGUCGACGAUGUCUAGGGGGACUGAGAGGUUACCCCCCCACACUGGUACUGAGACACGGACCAGACUCCUACGGGAGGCAGCAGUGAGGAAUAUUGGUCAAUGGACGCAAGUCUGAACCAGCCAUACCGCGUGGGUGAAGAAGGCCUUCGGGUUGUAAGGCCCUUUUGUUGGGAAAGAAAUCCAGCUGGCUAAUACCCGGUUGGGAUGACGGUACACAAAGAAUAAGCACCGGCUAACUUCGUGCCAGCCGCCGCAGUAA
rnacentral:rRNA from 1 species